rnacentral:rRNA from 1 species
GUGCCAGCAGCCGCGGUAAUACAGAGGUGGCAAGCGUUGCUCGGUGUCACUGGGCUUAAAGGGCGCGUAGGCGGCGUGGUACGGCUCGUGUGAAAUCCCUCGGCCCAACCGAGGAAUUGCAAGGGCGACGGCCAUGCUCGGCUGCAUCAGGGGAAGAUGGAACUCUCGGUGGAGCGGUGAAAUGCGUAGAUAUCGAGAGGAACGCCGGUGGCGAAAGCGAUCUUCUGGGGUGCAAGCGACGCUGAGGCGCGAAAGCUAGGGGAGCAAACGGGAUUAGAUACCCCGGUAGUCC